AACAAGAUCAUCAGUGUUCCUGACUGCCACUUUGGACUGAAAUUAUAUCAUGUGUGAUCCCCUCAUCCAAGGGAAAUAUGAUGACAUCACCCAUCCAUGCUCACCCUAAGGUCCAUGCUGAUGCUAAUGACCAUUUUAAGGCAACCAGGUUGUGACUGAUGUAAACUGCCACUUUUGAGUAGAUUGAUAACAUCUGUGAUCCCAGAUGCCAAGGCAAAUAUAUUGAUAUUACUCACCCAUGCUGCCACUAAAAACCAUGUCGAAACCCAUAGUUUGGUCAUUGAGGAGUUCCAGUUUGUCUGUGGUCCCUCUGCUAGAAGAGUCUAUUGUGAAGUUCCUAGUCAGUACUGCUGCCUAAGGACAUAAUGACGUAAGUGCUGUGUGCUGCUACUGGAGACCAUUUUAUGUGUGUGAUCCUACAUGGAGCCUGAAGCUAUGCUGAUGUCAGUACUGUAAGUAGUGAACCUUAAUCAUAAUGGAGUCAUGGUUCCCGUUGGUAAUAGAGACCAAGGUGAUGGCUAUGAUCUGUGCUGGUGCUUGAGAACCCAUUAAAUUCCAAGGUCCAUACUGCACUCAAGAUCAUUUUGAGGCUGUGUUAUCUUCGAAGAGCUCCCUGAUGUCUGAGAGUCCUCAUCCAGAAGAGUUAAUAGUGAUGAUCAAUAAUCCUACCUAAGGUCUUAAUGAUUUAAAUGUGUGCUACUACUGAAUGUACCUUUGAUGCCUGUGAUCCUACCUGCAAAUUGAUGCCAGGUUGAUGUCAGUACUACAUGAUGUGGCCAACAAUCACGAUGGAGUCCAUUGUUGAUAUUGCUGAUGGAGACCCUGGUGAUGGCUAUGAUUUCUGCUGCUGCUUGAGGACAUGCUGAAUUAUAAGGUCUAUACUGACACUUGAGGUCAUAUUAAGACCUUGUUAUAAGUAACAUACUUGUUACUAACAGAAGAGCUAUCAAUGUGAUUGAAUCCUUCUGAUACUGGAGAAAAGGUUUACGUCCAUAAUUACUUCUAUCGUUUGAAUCUAUGUUGGUGCCAGUUAUACAGCUGUCAAUAGACAUCAUACCAUAUCCAGGAUCCCUGCUGCCAAUAGCAAACAUCAUAUAGUAAUUUGUUCAGCCAGUUUGUGCCAGGAUGAUGAUAUCAGUGAUCUCAACUGCCAACAUAAAUAUAUUGAUGUAAUUCAUCCAUGCUGCUACCUGUAAUUAUGUUGAUAUCUAUAGACAUUGCUGCCUCUAAAGAGCUUGGUGAUAUCUGCCACCCCUGUUGCUAAAAGUGUCUGACUUGGAGUUUAUGGUCAAUACUGCUACCUAAGUCAUGUUGACUGAAGUGUACUUUGAUUCAACCAGAGAUGAGUUUCAUCUAUGGAACCUGAAAUGCAACCUGAAACAAUGUUGAUGUCAGUGCUUCCUGCUGCCACCAGUAAUCAUGAUGAUGUUUAUUGUUCCUAUUAAGAUAUGACAGAACACAGUAAUGUAUGAAAUGCCUGUGGUAUAUGCUUAUAGCUCCUGCUUUUGACUAUAUUAUCUAUAAGAUCCUUACUGCAAACAAAAGAAGCAUUGAUGUCAAUGAUCCAUCACGCAAAAGGAGAAGUUGAUGUUAGUAUUAUCUCCUGCCCUCUGAAUCUAUGCUGAUGUCAGUGAUACACAUGGAAACAGAUACUGUGAUUUUAUCUAAGAUAUAUGCUGCCACAGGCAACCUUGACUAAACUGAUCCCUGCUUCAGAAAAAAUAAUCUGUGCGUGGUCUGGCCUGUCUGCUGAAACUAUGUUGAUGUCACUGAUACCUUCUGGAAGCAAACACUAUGAUGUAUCCUAGAUCACUGCUGCCUCUGGCCACCAGCAAACAUGAUGGUGUCUAUUGUUCCAAUUGAGAUCCUACCUACCACAGGAAAGUAGAAUGAUGUCCCCGAUGUAUGAAUGGAGCCCCUGCUAAGAUCCUCACUGCUACCAGAAGAACUAUUGAUGUACAUGAUCCAUCCUGACAGAAAUUUGUGCUGCCAGUUGUAACAAUUUUGAUAUCAAGAAUACAUCCUUCAACUAGAGAAGUAAUUUAGGUCCAUGAUCUGACAUAUGAAGUUAAACUAUAAUGUCACCAAUAACUUCCUAGUAACAAACAUUAUGGUAUAUCCCAGAUCUAUACAACCAUAGGCAUGGGGUGUUAAUGAUUUCUGGCCUUACUUUGGACAAGGAUUAUGGUUUCCAUGAUCCCACCUACCAAUGGAAAUACAUUGUUGCCACUCAAUCCUGCUGCCAGUUAUAACCAUGUUGACAUGCAGAGUCUUGACUCUGGAGAUCUUGAUGAUAAUCUGUAAGCCCUAUUGCCAUAAGAGUCUAUCCAGAAUAUCAUUGCUGCUCAAGUUCAAUUUGAGUUAUGUCUUCUGAGGUGCCACCUGAGAGUUGUGUAUGAAUCUGACUUGUUACCAGAAUCUAUGAUGAUAUCCAAGUUGUUUGCUGUCACUAGCAAACAAGAUGGUAUUCAUAUAUCCUACUGAGAUAGGAAACUAUCAACUUGAAUUUACUGAUAUAUGCAUAAAGCCUCCAAUGUAGGCCAUAUUAAAUAAAACACCCUUACUUCCACAAGAAUUGCUAUUGAUAUCAAUGAUCUAACCUGCUUUCAUUCCUACUGAGAUCCUACCUACCACUGGAAACUAUGAUGAAGCCCUUGAUACAGGAAUGCAGCCCUGAACGUAGACCAUAUUAUGUAUAACAUCCUUACUGCCACAAGAAUAAUUGCUGAUGCCUAUGAUCCAUCCUGCUGGAGAUGUGUACUCCCAGAUGUAACCACUUUGAUGUCAAAGAUCCAUCUUGCCACUACAGUAUAUGUUUUUGUCAAUGGUCUUUCCUGUUAUCUGAAACUAUAUAGAUGUCAAUGAUACUUCCUAGCAACUAACACCACGGUUUAUCUCCGAUCCCAACUGCCACCAGCAACCAGAAUGUUAAUGAUCCAUGCUGUCACCUUGGACUGGGUUGAAGAUAUCACUGGUCCAAAGUGCCAACAGAAACAUAUUGAUGUCAUAAUUCCAUACUGCCCCUGCCAACCAAGUUGACAUCUUUAGUCACUGUUGAGUCUGAGGAGCUUGGCGAUGUCUAUGAUCCCUGUUUCCAGAAGAACCUAUCAGGAAGUUCUUGGCUAAUACUGUUGUCUAAGAUAAUUUCAAAUUAAGUGUUCUGAGCUGGCACUAGAGUAGGUACUUCUGUCCAUGGUCUGAUAUGUAAUCUGAAAUUCUGUACAUGUCAAUGAUAUCUCUUCGCAACAAUCUCCAUGGUUUAUGUGAGCUGCUGGCUACCACCAGCCACCAGGAUAUUAGUGAUUCCUACUGCUACUUUGCACCAUAUAUAGAUGAUAUCACUGAUUCCAAUUGUAAAUGGAAAUAUAUUGAUGUCAAUCAUCACUGCUGUGAGUAGUAACUAUGUUGACAUCCUUAGUGUUGACUCGGAAGAACUUGGUGAUAUCUGUGAGCAUGUUACCAGAAGAGUAUAUCUUGAAGUUUCUGGACAAUACUGUUGCCUAAGUUCAUGUUAAGUAUUCUGAGGUGCCUCCUGAAAAAUGUGUGUGAUCAUACUUGCAACUUGAAGCUAUGGUGAUAAUAGUCCUGCCUGUUGUCAUAAGCAGUCAAGAGGACGUCCAUAGAACUUAUUGAGAUGCUACCUGCCAUAAGAAACUAUGGUGAUUUCCCUGAUGCAUGCAUGGAGCCCUCAAUAUAGACCAUAUUUUAUAAAGUAUCCUUAUGUCACCAGAUUCACUAUUGAUGUUGAUGAUCCUUCCUGCCAGAGAUAUGUGCUGUCACCUGUAACCAUUUUGAUGUCAAUAAUCCUGCCACUUGAAAAAAAAAAGUUAUGUGCAUGAUCUCCCCUGCCCUCUGAGUCUAUGCUGAUAUCGCUGAUAUAACUGGCAAUAAAUACAAUGGAAUCUAU
rnacentral:lncRNA from 1 species